CUUAUCCUCAAAUCUCUUAUUGACCUGCAGUCCCUGUAAUGAAUUGCAAAUAUUAUAAGGACUUCCGGUAUCCAAUACCCAGGUCAAUUUAUCACAUAUGGAGAAAUUACAAGGAGUUAUCAUAUAAGUACCUUGCCUAGCAACUGUUUGCUCAUUUCUCCUGGGCCUGUUUGGAUCAAGGGUGGCUACAUACAGAGGACAGUUCCUUUUCCAGUAUUCUGGUUUCUGACAGUGGUAGCACACCGCCUUUCUAGGGUUAGCCUGCUUUCUUAUCAUCUGAUAAGAUGUCCAGACACUUAGCACCUUUCUCUUUCUGUUAUUUUUAUUUUUAUUUUUCUUUUUCCCUUUCCCAAAGGGACGACGUCCUGCCCCACU
rnacentral:lncRNA from 1 species